AGUUAAUUAUUUAAAUAUAGUUAAUUAAAUAUUUUAUAGUAAAAAAAAAAAAAAAAAAAAAAGUAAAAUCAUUGCUUUUAUAUUAAUAUAAAUAUUAUUUUUAUAACAGUAAAGAAAGUUAGUUAAUAAGUUUUGCAAUAGAAAUAUUUAUAAAAUUAGUUAAAUUUGUGCCAGCAUCUGCGGUUAUACUAGGAAUUUGAUUAAUAUAAUUUAGAAUUUAUAAAAAUAAGUGAUAUUGAAAAUAUAAUUUGGUGAAAUAAUUUAUUGAAGUUAAAUUAAUUUUAUUAAAAAAGUUUGGGUAAAAGCAGGAUUAGAUACCCUGUUAUUUGUGUUAGAAUUUUUCUAAGGAUUAAUGAUAAAUUUAGAAGAUUUGGCGGCUGAAAUAAAUUAAAGGGGUUUGUUUUUUUAUUUGAUGUGACUCAUUAGGUUUUACUUGUUUUAUUUAGUAUAUCGUCAUUUAGAUAGUUUAUAAUUAAUUAACUAUUGUAAAGUAUUUAAAUAAAUUAGAUCAAGGUGCAGAGAUAGACAAGGAUUAAUUAACUACAAUAAUAUAUUAUUAAACUUACUUUUUUUAAAUGAGAGAUACAGGUGGAUUUAAUUGUAAUUAAAGUUGUGUGAAAGUUAUUUUAGUGUACAAAUUGCCCGUCAUUCUCUAUGAGACAAGUCGAAACAAAGUAGGGCUAUCGGAAGCUGGACCUA
rnacentral:rRNA from 1 species